rnacentral:rRNA from 1 species
UACGUAGGUGGCAAGCGUUGUCCGGAUUUACUGGGCGUAAAGAGCGCGCAGGCGGUCGUUCAAGUCGCGUGUGAAAGCCCCCGGCUCAACUGGGGAGGGUCACGCGAUACUGAUCGACUCGAAGGCAGGAGAGGGAAGUGGAAUUCCCGGUGUAGUGGUGAAAUGCGUAGAUAUCCGGAGGAACACCGGUGGCGAAGGCAGCUCGCUGGGACGUCACUGACGCUGAGACGCGAAAGCGUGGGGAGCAAACAGG